rnacentral:rRNA from 1 species
GGAUCCAGACUUUGAUUCUGGCUCAGGACGAACGCUGGCGGCGCGCCUAACACAUGCAAGUCGAGCGGGAAGCUUUUUAAGGAUUCUUCGGAUGAAUUAAAAAGUGGAGAGCGGCGGACGGGUGAGUAACGCGUGAGAAACCUGCCCUAUACAGGGGGAUAGCCAUUGGAAACGAUGAUUAAUACCCCAUAUGACCACAGUAUCGCAUGAUACAGCGGUGAAAACUCCGGUGGUAUAGGAUGGUCUCGCGUCUGAUUAGCUAGUUGGUGGGGUAACGGCCUACCAAGGCGACGAUCAGUAGCCGGCCUGAGAGGGUGACCGGCCACACUGGAACUGAGACACGGUCCAGACUCCUACGGGAGGCAGCAGUGGGGAAUAUUGCACAAUGGGCGAAAGCCUGAUGCAGCGACGCCGCGUGAACGAUGAAGGCUUUCGAGUCGUAAAGUUCUGUUCUUGGGGAAGAUAACGACGGUACCCAAGGAGAAAGCACCGGCUAAAUACGUGCCAGCAGCCGCGGUA